GAUGAACGCUGGCGGCGUCCCUAAUACAUGCAAGUCGAGCGAACGGACGAGAAGCUUGCUUCUCUGAUGUUAGCGGCGGACGGGUGAGUAACACGUGGAUAACCUACCUAUAAGACUGGGAUAACUUCGGGAAACCGGAGCUAAUACCGGAUAAUAUUUUGAACCGCAUGGUUCAAAAGUGAAAGACGGUCUUGCUGUCACUUAUAGAUGGAUCCGCGCUGCAUUAGCUAGUUGGUAAGGUAACGGCUUACCAAGGCAACGAUGCAUAGCCGACCUGAGAGGGUGAUCGGCCACACUGGAACUGAGACACGGUCCAGACUCCUACGGGAGGCAGCAGUAGGGAAUCUUCCGCAAUGGGCGAAAGCCUGACGGAGCAACGCCGCGUGAGUGAUGAAGGUCUUCGGAUCGUAAAACUCUGUUAUUAGGGAAGAACAUAUGUGUAAGUAACUGUGCACAUCUUGACGGUACCUAAUCAGAAAGCCGCGGCUAACUACGUG
rnacentral:rRNA from 1 species